AUGAACGCUGGCGGCGUGCUUAACACAUGCCAGUCGAACGAUGAAGCCCAGCUUGCUGGGUGGAUUAGUGGCGAACGGGUGAGUAACACGUGAGUAACCUGCCCUUGACUCUGGGAUAAGCCUGGGAAACUGGGUCUAAUACUGGAUAUGACUUCUCAUCGCAUGGUGGGGGGUGGAAAGAUUUAUUGGUCUUGGAUGGACUCGCGGCCUAUCAGCUUGUUGGUGAGGUAAUGGCUCACCAAGGCGACGACGGGUAGCCGGCCUGAGAGGGUGACCGGCCACACUGGGACUGAGACACGGCCCAGACUCCUACGGGAGGCAGCAGUGGGGAAUAUUGCACAAUGGGCGCAAGCCUGAUGCAGCGACGCCGCGUGAGGGAUGACGGCCUUCGGGUUGUAAACCUCUUUCAGUAGGGAAGAAGCGAGAGUGACGGUACCUGCAGAAGAAGCGCCGGCUAACUACGUG
rnacentral:rRNA from 1 species